CGAUGAUGCCCAGCUUGCUGGGCGGAUUAGUGGCGAACGGGUGAGUAAUACGUGAGUAACCUGCCCCUGACUCUGGGAUAAGCCUGGGAAACCGGGUCUAAUACUGGAUACGACCUCCUGCCGCAUGGUGGGGGGUGGAAAGGGUUUACUGGUUUUGGAUGGGCUCACGGCCUAUCAGCUUGUUGGUGGGGUAAUGGCUCACCAAGGCGACGACGGGUAGCCGGCCUGAGAGGGUGACCGGCCACACUGGGACUGAGACACGGCCCAGACUCCUACGGGAGGCAGCAGUGGGGAAUAUUGCACAAUGGGCGAAAGCCUGAUGCAGCGACGCCGCGUGAGGGAUGACGGCCUUCGGGUUGUAAACCUCUUUCAGUAGGGAAGAAGCGCAAGUGACGGUACCUGCAGAAGAAGCGCCGGCUAACUACGUGCCAGCAGCCGCGGUAAUACGUAGGGCGCAAGCGUUGUCCGGAAUUAUUGGGCGUAAAGAGCUCGUAGGCGGUUUGUCGCGUCCGCUGUGAAAGCCCGGGGCUCAACCCCGGGUCGGCAGUGGGUACGGGCAGACUAGAGUGCAGUAGGGGAGACUGGAAUUCCUGGUGUAGCGGUGAAAUGCGCAGAUAUCAGGAGGAACACCGAUGGCGAAGGCAGGUCUCUGGGCUGUUACUGACGCUGAGGAGCGAAAGCAUGGGGAGCGAACAGGAUUAGAUACCCUGGUAGUCCAUGCCGUAAACGUUGGGCACUAGGUGUGGGGGACAUUCCACGUCCUCCGCGCCGUAGCUAACGCAUUAAGUGCCCCGCCUGGGGAGUAC
rnacentral:rRNA from 1 species